UUUUCUUGAGGAAGUUCACUUUGGCAGGCUGCGCAAUAUAAAUACAAGUAAGAAACCUAAUACUCCAUGCUUUAAAUUUAUAUGACAUCCUUUUCCAUUUUAGGUCAUCCCAAAAUGUUUGACAACAUUUCACAAAUAAUUGUAUCUUAUAUUUGCUCCAUUUCAUCAUAUAUGAUGGUAUUUGAUUGGGUAAGAAUUUUAAUAUAUUAGGGUAUACUGGUGAUGGUAAAAAAAAAUACUCAACUAACAAUUGAAAAGUUAGUUUGAUAGAGAAACAUCACACGGAAGUUCAAAAGUUAAAUAAUUUAAACAUUUGAGUUCUAGGAAAAAUGUGAUAGUUGUACAAAUAUGGAACAAUGUGUGUUUUUGUACAUCCAAAAAUAACAAGUGUCAACAACUUUUAAAGCUUCAAAAUCAUUUGACUAUUCAAAUUUAGAACUUGAUGUGAUAUGCUCAUUACGAUCUAAUUGUUCAACAAUUACUUAAAUAUAUUUUUCCACUAAGUCAAUUUAACAUCUUAAACACCAUGUUCAGUCGAACAUGAUCAUGUAAAACGACAGGGAAGAGUACAAAUGGAAAGCGGAUGGAAAAAGAGCACACUGACUGGUGAAUAUGUUACCUGACAAGGAGGAGGAUUCGCUUAGCUUACUAGUACUGGCAUGUUCUGCCUUUAAGAGAGAGCCAGAGAGUUGACUUUGAAAAUAUUGCGAGAUUGUUGACAUUCCCUGAUAUAACAGCGAAAAGAGGCUUAAAACAGUUUUCUGAAGCAAUCAAAACAAAGAUUACCCUCACUAUUUGAAUACUGGGCGCAUUUACUCCUAGAGAAUUUUAAGGCAUCAACUCCAAACAUGGUGCAUCACAAUUUGAAAGGGUAUCGAUGAAACUGAUACCACUAAUUCAGUGGCUGAGAUCAUUGAUGACUGCUUUAAAUGUGUGCAUUCCUUAUUUACUUCCUUUUAUGUACGAAGCAUGUGCAUAGCAAUACAUAGAAGGAGUGGAAAGAGACUCUUUGAUAAAGUAGAUCUCCUUGAUAAAUGUUCUGAUGCUUGUCUUUUAUAACUUGACCUAAUGUUUAGAUCAUAGAUAUAUGAUCUCUAAUCAACCAACAGAGAUCCAUUAGCCUCAUGAAAAUAAAUCUUUUGGAUGUUCUUUAGGCGGUUGCAUGUUGAGUUUUCUCCUUAAUACAUAUAUUAUUGAAGAUUAAAAUAACUACACAAAGUAAAAAUACUUAAACAAGGAAAGAGCAGAAUGGAAACCUAAAUCUGACUACUCAAACGAUGUGUCAUCUUAAAAUCAAGGAAUAGCAAAAUGCAGUUCAUAAGUAGAAGAGUAACAACACUAGAAAGGACAAUGGGGAAUUAAAAAAAAAGUCAUGCAUUUAAAGAAAGCUAAAUGGGUAAGGAGAAACUGAAGAAUACAGCCAAUACAUAGCUACAAUCCAUGAGACAAGUACUUCUUAUAGCAAUGAAAUAAUAGAAAGGAGUUUGAAACCUUUUCUUUAUUUGAUUUCCUCUUCCCUUCCUCCGACUCUAAACUAUCUCUAAUCUUUACAGUAAGGUAGUCCCCGCUUGAUUCAGUCUGAUCUUUCUCCCAUCCCCGAUACACUUCAGCAUCUAAAGUAGCAUUGAAAAGUAAAAUUAAAACAAAUCAAGCUGGGAAGAAGAACAAGCUUAAGGAAAUAUUGACCAAAGUUUUAGCUAUUAGAACCAAUAGGAAGAAGUACCUGGUGAAGAACAUAUUGAAGUCACUUUAUCUGGCAGCUGCUCAGAUGGAAAAAAAAAAAAAAAAACAGAAACAUCCCUGGUCAAGGUGGCUAUAGAUUAUAACUGUUUUACACCAUAGAGGACCAUCAAAAUGGAAAAUACAGAAAGCAUGCAUAAUACUGAAUGUUGAAAGACCAGGUCUCUUAAAUAAUUUAUAGCACAAAAGUAGGUCGUAGUACUGAAAUUGUUAUAAAUGACAUCCCAAUUCAGUAAAGUGGGUUUCUGAGAUAACAAUCAAUCAGUCUAUGGUUUGCUUCCUCUUCUCUUACCAGGGACACUAUGUCUCACCUUUUGUCUUCCACCCUUCGAAGAAAAGGCUAGUGGAGUUUAAGAUAACAUGCUAAAGGGUUCUCACAUCAUGGACGAGUGAGGGUAAAAAAGUUAGUCCAAGAGAGUCGGAUUCAGGUAGGAAGCUGGAACACGACAGGGGAAUCGAUGGAAUGAGUGGAUACUCUAAAAAGGGGAAGUGGAUAUUGCAUGUCUUCAGGAAAUCAAAUGGACAGCAGGGUAAAAGGUUAGAGAAAUUGGUAACACGGAUUAUAAAUUAUGGUAUUGUGAGAAAGAUAAAAAUAGGAAUUGAGUGGGAAUUACUAUAGAACCAAGACUAAGAGAUAUGGUUGUGGAGUUAAUACGAGUUGGGGAUACCAUUAUUGCAAUAAAGCUCGUAAUGGGGAAGGAGACAAUCAAUGUUAUCAGUGCCUAUGAUCUGCAAAUAAGAUUAGAUGCAGAAGCUAAAGCUAAGUUUUGGGAUAACUUGAUUCAGGAAUUCCAGGAGAUCAACAAAUAUCAUAGGGGAGAUAUAAAUGGCCAUGUAGGUAGAGAUGGUGAUAAUUUUGAACAAGUACAUGGUGGUUUAGGUUAUGGUACUAGGAAUGACAAAGGCAAGACUAAAUAGAAUUUGCCUUAGCUUAUGAUUUUGUGACAGCUAAUGCAUAUUUUAAGAAAAAGGAUUCUCACUUGAUUACUUUUAGGAGUGGGGGUAACCAUAGUCAAAUAGAAUUUAUCCUUACAAGAAGAUGAGAAGUACAUGCAAGGACUGUAACAAAGUUAUUCCAAGAGAAGCGAUGACCUCCCAACAUAGGUUAGUAGUCUUAGAUGUAAAGCUUAGGAGUAGAAUAAGAAAAGUGAAUGUAGUCAUGUACAAACAUGAAACAACUGUUAAUUAAGUGGUCACAAUUAAUGUUACCAAUUUCAAAAAAAAAAAAAGUGGUUGGCAUUAAAGGGUAUGCUAUAGAGGCUCCAUGGACAUAUAUCGGGUUUGUAAAUAUUGAUGGGUAGCCAUGCUAUGUGUACACCCAUGUCAGGAUUCUCUUAUGGUAUGUUGAGGCCUACCAACCAUUUUAAAAGUAAAAGUAAAAAAUAAAUUAAAAUAAAAUAAAAAAGUAAUUAUAUAAAAAUUAAAAUUUAAAAAUAAUCCUGUAAUCUCACUAUGUAAUUACCAGCAAUCUUCAAACCCCCUUGAAACUUACAGAUUGUAAUUACUCGCUCUAAUUUACACGUUGAUUACUUGGGCAGACAAACAUACCAACACAAUAUAAUUACACACUAUUACAAUCAAUUAAAUUAUAGGUUCCUUUCCAAAUAGGCCCUAAAUAUAUCCUUACUUGUAUGGAGCAAAGCCUAGUAUGAUAUCUACAAGUAAGGAUCUCCACUUCCAUCACCUGGAUUUUCUUUUACAGAUAUAUAGGAGAGGGUUAAGUGACUUUUAAGUUUUCAAGCCAACAAGUGGUUUGUGCUUUGGUGCCUUCCCUAAUGUUAUUGUAAUGCUUUUAUGUACCACUUUACUCAAUUAACAAACAUCUUUAUAAAUCUAAUCCAUUGAAAUUUCUACGGUCAAUGUGGAUUCAUAUAACUGAUCCAAACUCACUUGAGACUAAGGUGUAUUUGUUGUAUAUUGAAUUUUCUGCUAAAAAGUCUCCAUUUUGUAUCUACAUACGUUCUUCAUAGUUGCAUGUGAUUUCAACCCAAGGAGAGAAGUAGACAAGAAAGCUGCCUCGACUGAGGUUGAUUUGCUCGUGAUUCACUUUUCACCAAGCAAAAGCAACACCCAUGGGACAUGCUUAACAAUGUUUUGGACACUUCUAAUGAACAGUCUCUUGAAACUUCAGGUAGGAUAUGAUAUCUUCUAAGCACUUCCCACAAGGUCAACAAAUUUCUUGAAGUAUUAGAUUCAACUACAAGCAUAGAGAACAUACAGGCACAUGGGUUGCAGAUAAUUGCAUUCAAAACAAAUGAUAAAUAAAAUCGUUAGGAGAAAAGGUUAAAGGUGUAAAAGAAAAUAUUUUAACAUCAGUUGCAUGCAUCAUUAAAUUUAUCAAGCAUUCCUAUGGACCCCCCCCCCCCC
rnacentral:lncRNA from 1 species